GACGUAGGAGGCGAGCGUUAUCCGGAUUCACUGGGCGUAAAGCGCAUGUAGGCGGAUGUCUAAGUCGUGUGUUAAAGCCCCUGGCUCAACUGGGGGAGGUCAUGCGAGACUGGAUGACUUGAGGGCAACAGAGGCACGUGGAAGUCCCGGUGUAGCGGUGGAAUGCGUAGAGAUCGGGAAGAACACCCGUGGCGAAGGCGGCGUGCUGGGUUGCAACUGACGCUGAGAUGCGAAAGUGUGGGGAGCAAACGGG
rnacentral:rRNA from 1 species